rnacentral:rRNA from 1 species
GAUGAACGCUGGCGGCGUGCCUAAUACAUGCAAGUCGAGCGAACAGACGAGGAGCUUGCUCCUCUGACGUUAGCGGCGGACGGGUGAGUAACACGUGGAUAACCUACCUAUAAGACUGGGAUAACUUCGGGAAACCGGAGCUAAUACCGGAUAAUAUAUUGAACCGCAUGGUUCAAUAGUGAAAGACGGUUUUGCUGUCACUUAUAGAUGGAUCCGCGCCGCAUUAGCUAGUUGGUAAGGUAACGGCUUACCAAGGCAACGAUGCGUAGCCGACCUGAGAGGGUGAUCGGCCACACUGGAACUGAGACACGGUCCAGACGCCUACGGGAGGCAGCAGUAGGGAAUCUUCCGCAAUGGGCGAAAGCCUGACGGAGCAACGCCGCGUGAGUGAUGAAGGUCUUCGGAUCGUAAAACUCUGUUAUUAGGGAAGAACAAAUGUGUAAGUAACGAUGCACGUCUUGACGGUACCUAAGCAGAAAGCCACGGCUAACUACGU